rnacentral:rRNA from 1 species
CAGUAGCCACGGUAAUACAGAGGUCCCGAGCGUUGUUCGGAUUCACUGGGCGUAAAGGGUGUGUAGGAGGUUGGAUAAGUCAGGUGUGAAAUCCCGCAGCUCAACUGCGGAACUGCAUUUGAUACUGUUCAACUAGAGGAUCGGAGGGGGAAGCGGAAUUCUUGGUGUAGCGGUGAAAUGCGUAGAUAUCAAGAGGAACACCGGUGGCGAAGGCGGCUUCCUGGAAGAUACCUGACUCUGAAACACGAAAGCCAGGGGAGCGAAUGGGAUUAGAUACCCCCGUAGUCCCUGUCUCUUAUAA